rnacentral:rRNA from 1 species
AAGGGAAUAUUGCAAAAUGGGCGAAAGCCCGAUGCAGCAACGCCGCGUGGGCGAUGAAGGCCUUCGGGUCGUAAAGCCCUUUUUGAGGGGAUGAGGAAGGACAGUACCCUCAGGAUAAGCCUCGGCUAACUACGUGCCAGCAGCCGCGGUAAAACGUAGGAGGCGAGCGUUAUCCGGAUUUACUGGGCGUAAAGCGCGUGCAGGCGGAUUGGAGAGUUGGAUGUGAAAGCUCCCGGCUUAACUGGGAGAGGUCGUUCAAUACUUCCAGUCUUGAGUGCAGUAGAGGGAAGUGGAAUUCCGGGUGUAGUGGUGAAAUGCGUAGGUAUCCGGAGGAACACCAGUGGCGAAAGCGGCUUCCUGGACUGUAACUGACGCUCAGACGCGAAAGCUAGGGUAGCAAACG